rnacentral:tRNA from 1 species
GCUUGGGUGGCUCAGUUGGUUAAGCGUCCAACUUUAGCUCAGGUCAUGAUCUCCUGGUUUGUGGGUUCGAGCCCCACAUCAAGCU